GGGAAAACCGCAGUGAUUGUGCCUUCAAACGGGCAAUUUGAAAGGACAACCCCACCAAAAACCAUUAUAAUUGUAAAUUGAAAUGAUUGAUAUUACAAAUGUUUGUACCUAUGUAAUUGUACAUGUAAAGCUGAAAAUUCAGGCAUACCAUGGAAAAUUUGAAAAAAUUAAGCACCACAGACAUCAAACAACAGUGGGGAUAAUUUAAAAAACAAUAAUACAACAUAGUCAACAAUAAAGUCCUACCAGUCUGCUGAUAAAUGGGCUACUGAUAUUGUACUAAAUUAUGAUUUAGCUCUAUUUUACUCAAAUAAUGUUGAAGUAACUCUGUUGAAAUAUCUUUAGCUAUGCUAAACCAAACUGGAGAAGCAUGAAAAAAGCUGACGUGACUGCAAGUAACUGGGACAAUUUAUUGCCAUUUAUUUACUUAUCAUAAAAAUAAAAGCCCAAGUUGGCCACUUAAAGUCAACCAAUUGUAUAAUUCCAAUUUUAAAUAAAAUACUGUACCCUUCCGUGGGAAAAAAUUAUGAAUCAGUUGCUUUAAAUAUGUAUGAAAAAAUAAGUCUAAGUAUGUAUGUAUGUAUUAUCAGUUUUAUUCCAAUUAUAUAAGUAAAAAACUUGUUUUAAAAGAA